rnacentral:rRNA from 1 species
CAUUCCGCAAGGAAGUAAGAUCCCUGAAAGAUGAUCAGGUUGAUAGGUCUGAGGUGGAAGUGUGGCGACACAUGGAGCUGACAGAUACUAAUCGAUCGAGGACUUAACCACAUUU